rnacentral:lncRNA from 1 species
GGUCUCUGUGAAUAACUCGCAUUCUUGAGUACUUAUGCAGGUAUAGCAACCCUUGAGCAAUUCCUUCAAUGAUGUUAAACCGUCUAGGCCAAUCCAGCUCAGCCUUUCUUCUUUCAUCUAAAAAAUCCAAGCUUUUGUUAGGCAUAUACUCGUAUAUUAACAUCUUUUCUUCCUCGUGAAUGCAACACCCAAGAACCUGAACAAGAUUUGUGUGCUGGAGCUUGGCUAUGAGUAUUAGUUCAUUCUUGAACUCCACAAGCCCUUGCCCUGAUGUUCUUGAAAGCCUUUUGAUU